AUAUGUCUAUAGUGUGCAUGUUUUCAGUGUCCAUUCAUCAUCGUUUUGAAUCUAGUUUCGUAUCAUUCAUCACUAUUUUAUAUCAUUUCUCAUUGUUAUUGCAUACUUUGCAUGAUUAGGAUAGUUUUGCAUACAUAUUGCAUUUCUGAGUUGUUUUCAGGUAAUUUGUAGCUGUUUGCGAGC
rnacentral:sRNA from 1 species